AACGAACGCUGGCGGCAUGCCUAACACAUGCAAGUCGAACGAGACCUUCGGGUCUAGUGGCGCACGGGUGCGUAACGCGUGGGAACCUGCCCUUAGGUUCGGAAUAACUCCCCGAAAGGGGUGCUAAUACCGGAUAAUGUCUUCGGACCAAAGAUUUAUCGCCUUUGGAUGGGCCCGCGUUGGAUUAGCUAGUUGGUAGGGUAAAAGCCUACCAAGGCGACGAUCCAUAGCUGGUCUGAGAGGAUGAUCAGCCACACUGGGACUGAGACACGGCCCAGACUACUACGGGAGGCAGUAGUGUGGAAUACUGGACAAGGGUCGACAUCCUGAUCCAGUAAUGGCGCGUGAGAGACGAAGCCAUUAGGGUUGUACAGCUCUUUUAGCCGUGAUGAUAAUGACAGUACCGGGAGAAUAAGCCCCGGCUAACUUCGUG
rnacentral:rRNA from 1 species